GCGCCCGUGGCAUAGCCAGGAUAUUGCGCGGCCCUGCGGAGGCCGAAGCCGUGAGUUCGAAUCUCACCGGGCGCACCA
rnacentral:tRNA from 1 species